CCUACGGGAGGCAGCAGUGGGGAAUAUUGGGCAAUGGGCGAAAGCCUGACCCAGCAACGCCGCGUGAAGGAAGAAGGCUUUCGGGUUGUAAACCUCCUUUGACAGGGAAGAGCAGAAGACGGUACCUGUCGAAUAAGCCACGGCUAACUACGAGCCAGCAGCCGAGGUCAUACGUAGGUGGCAAGGGUUGUCCGGAUUCACUGGGUGAAAAGGGCGGGUAGCCGGGCUGACAAGUCAGAUGUGAAAUCCGGGGGGUCAACCCCCGAACUGCAGUUGAAACUGUUGGGCUUGAGUAUCGGAGAGGCAGGCGGAAUUCGGGGUGUAGCGGUGAAAUGCGUAGAUAUUAGGAGGAACCCCGGUUGCGAAGGCGGCCUGCUGGACGACAACUGACGGUGAGGCGCGAAAGCGUGGGGAGCAAACAGGAUUAGAUACCCCAGUAGUC
rnacentral:rRNA from 1 species